UCUGAGUUGCUGCUUUUCUGGAGGAGGUGGUGAUGGGAAACCAAACCAUUAAAUGCUGCUGGGCCAGCAAACUGCUGAGUCAAGACUGGGGCAAUCACGUGGAAUGCCAAAAAAAGAAACCUUUGUGCUGAGGUGAAGGGAUCAGAGCCCAGGCGGCUGCAGAAUUUCCUGCGAAAGCCCACUGAGAUCUCACACUGUGACACAGCUGGAAAAACACGUUCCCAGCCUGCAGGCAGAAGCAAAGGGCUGCAGCACUCCCCUGUGACCCAGCACGCCGGCAUGACCCCUCUGCAGGCAGCCCCCAGCCACACGCCGCAUCCAGCCCUGAGCCAGCACCUCUCCUUGCCUUGUCCUGAGCAGCAAAACUUGUGUAGGCAACAGCAGCUAUCCUGCUUGCGGCUGUCAGUCUGCUACGUGCUUUUGGAGCUGGGACCUCAGGAAUAAAAAGCAAGAAACAAGAGGCAGUGCAGAGUGGCAGCAGCACAACCCUGCGCUCCCGGAACCCCUGGCUGCAGCCUACAGGCAGGCCUGGCCCAGCUCCACAUAGGCUGUGCUUGUCUGAUGAAGCAGAACUGUUAGACUUAUGUGGUUUUGAAAGGACAGCUUUUCAUGGUAAAAGAUUACUUAAGUGUUUUAACACUGAAAUACUUCAUGAUAUUUCUCUUUUCCUCCAGCUCUAAAACAGAGGAGCUUCAAGCUGACAGACAGCCCCGAUUUAAGGAGUUAAGCUGAAGAGCACUCAUCACUACAAGCACAUCUGCUGCAUGCCAGCUACUUUCCCUAAGCGUGUGAAAGACAUCUGUCAUAUCAAGGGACUCUCCUCUUCAGAACCAGAGUCAAAUGGAAUUACGAAGACCAGAUACUUUCUUG